GGUAAGAAGGUAAGGCCUGCUCACUGAAAAAGUUUGAAGAGCCGCAGUAUUUUGACUGUGCUAAGGUAGCAUAAUCAUUAGUCUCUUAAUUGGAGACUGGUAUGAAUGGCUAAACGAAAAAUGAACUUUUUUUGUUACUAAAAAUCGAAUUUAACUUUUAAGUGAAAAGACUUAAAUUAUUCAGAAAGACGAGAAGACCCUAUAGAGUUUUAUACAUUAAAAAAUGAAAAUUUCUUAGAUUUUUCAAAUUUACAUUCGUGGUUUGUAUUUUGUUGGGGCGACAUUUAGAUAAAAAUAACUCUUAAUAUUGAAAACUUUAAUAAAAGUUUAAUUUGAUCCUUUAAAAAAGAUUAUAAGGAAAAAUUACCUUAGGGAUAACAGCGUAAUCUUUUUUGAGAGUUCUAAUCGACAAAAAGGUUUGCGACCUCGAUGUUGGACUAAAAUUUAGGCAAGGUGCAGCAGUUUUGCUU
rnacentral:rRNA from 1 species